AGCAGCCGCGGUAAUUCCAGCUCCAAUAGCGUAUAUUAAAGUUGUUGCAGUUAAAAAGCUCGUAGUUGAAUUUCGGGAUCAAUACGUCGGUCGUGCUUCGGUACGUACUGGCGUCAUUGGUUUCUCCCUUCUGACGAACCAUGAUGUCAUUAAUUUGGUGUUAUGGGAAAUCAGGACUGUUACUUUGAAAAAAUUAGAGUGUUUAAAGCAGGCUCACGCUUGAAUACAUUAGCAUGGAAUAAUGAAAUAGGACGUUCGAUCCUAUUUUGUUGGUUUCUAGGAUCAACGUAAUGAUUAAUAGGGAUAGUUGGGGGCAUUAGUAUUCAAUUGUCAGAGGUGAAAUUCUUGGAUUUAUUGAAGACUAACUACUGCGAAAGCAUUUGCCAAGGAUGUUUUCAUUAAUCAAGAACGAAAGUUAGGGGAUCGAAGACGAUCAGAUACCGUCGUAGUCUUAACCAUAAACUAUGCCGACUAGGGAUCGGAUGAUGUUAAUUAUUUAAUGACUCAUUCGGCGCCUUACG
rnacentral:rRNA from 1 species